UUGAGAUUAAGGGCACUUAUAAAAUUCCUAUAAUAGUUAUGUCAUUCAUUUUAAACAGUUAAACCGUUGAGCACCAAAUUCAAACAUCACAGUCCUAAAUAUAUUAUGAAGAAGACAGAGGACAAGUGCUCAUUCAGGAAGACAGAGCACUCCUCAGUUUGACACAAGCUGUGAACACAUAUGUCAGGUGAUUAUAAGGUCUUAGUGUUCCACAUGUAGGAAUGAGUAAGUGUGGAAGUUAGAAUGGAAGAAAAAUUGCAAAUAUGUAUUAUUAAACACUAUUUCAAUGUGUAUGCAUUGCUUUGUGUAUUGGGAGUUUUAUAUUAAAUAAUAUGUUGAUGCUAUUUUUAAAAAAAUAUUGGGAAGUGUUGAUGUACCACAGACUGGGUAAGAGAGAGCCUGAAGGUUGAUGGCUAAGAAAAUCUUUUUGGAAAAACUUUUGACCCCCAAAGGAUCGCCACCCAGGGGCUGAGAACCGCUGGGCUACACCAAGCUGAGACCAAACAAAUACAGUUACAAAAUGAUGUUUCCAGAGUUGAUAAUUCCACCUGGUGCCCCAGUAUGAGCGUCUGCUAUGCUUACCACAGAAGCUGUUCUUACUGCUGUUAAUCCCUUAGACUGCAUGUGUGCACACACACUCACACAUGCACACACCCAUAGCAAAGCAAGCUCUUCGUAGAUCGCAAAGAAGCCCAUUCAUUCGGUUCACAGUGGGAUUGGAGUUUCUGUGAAUGGCCAGAGGUUGAUGUCUCUCUACUAUUAGCUCAAGCUGGAUAGUUCACGGUAGCACUCAACUCAGAAGAUCACUUCCAUGUACAGCCAUUUCUCAGAGGUUGCAGGGUAUGUUGACAGCUCCAAUCCUUUCAUGUAAUCAUCAGAAUUCCAAAGAUGACCUGGGAAGUUUUAUGCACUACUGGGGAACUCUUAAAAUUUUAUACAACCACGCUGAAAGUCAAUUUAGCAAGGUCUGCUAAGAUUCUCUUAUCUUACAAUCUAGCCAUUCUACUCCACAUGAUCCUACAAAGAAACACUCUCUUGGAUGCAAAGAAGGCACGGGCAUGUUCAUCUGCAACAGAAAAUUACCCCAAACAACAAAAGUUCCAUCAACACAAAGAAUGAGGAAACUGCGUGAUCACAGUUCAGUUCAAGCACAUAGCAUGCUCUAGUCCCCGGGUUCAGUUCCCAGUGCUACAAAUAAAUAAGUGACUGAGAACCAAGGCUUGGAUACGCAUACAUCUAAAACUACAGUGCUGAGAGGAAGAGGACAGCCGUGCAAGUUAUGCUGCAGACGCUAGCCUGUGAGAGAAAGAAUGAAUUGAAAUGAAAAACAAAACAACAACAAUAAGAAAAACGGGCACACACAGGGCACAUCCUGAACAAUCAGCUCUCGAACCAUUGAAUGUGGAAGAAGUCAAGGAUAUCUUAAAACUAGUUUUAAGCAGCCAACAAGAUGGCUUGGUGGGUGUGGUGUUUGAAUGAGAACGGCCUCAUAGACUCACAUGUUUGAACACUGGUCCUGGGGUUUGUGUGACUAUUUGGGAAGGACUAGGAGGUGUGACCCUCUCAGAGAAAGAUGGUGGUGAGCGGGCACGCUCCAAUGCCUCCUGCCAUCCCCAGCAUGCUCUCUCCGUAGCAGGCUUACAGUUUGAGUUGGGCCACCUGCCGCCUCCACUCUGCCACCGUGGACUCUAACCCUCAAAACUGUGAGCACAAAACAGUCGGCUCUGUAAGUUGCCUGGAUCAUGAUGUCACACCACGGCAGUAGAAAAAUAGCCAUGACAGAGGGUAAAGGCCCUUGCUCCUGUGUGUGGAAACCUGAGUUUGAUCGUGGGGUCCUUUAUGGAGAGACGCUUCCUACAAAUUGUCUUCAGGCUUCCACACACAUGUACUUAUGACAAC
rnacentral:sRNA from 1 species